GGGGUCAUAAUCAUCACCAUAGUCCAGUACCAAAGGACUGGUUGCUGGACCAAAUAAAUAGCAACAGGGUGGUACAACAGUGGGAGGCUAACAGUGAGUCACUUCCUUUCUCUGGAUGCUAAUAAUGGCUCUGCCAUCUACUAGAAGAGUGCAAUCUUCUUGAAUUUCAGCUUGCCUUAUCUGCAAAAAUGAAAAGGAUUAGACUGAAUUUAACUGAAUUGAAUUCAAAGGAUGAUAUGAGUGGAAUAUUGGCACUAGCCCUAAGGAAGAAAGAUAACUUGUGUUACUGCCUCCCUGCUGGAAGUCCCAAGAUCCCUACUUCCUUCUGUAGCUUAAAGCACUGCUUAACUUUCAGCUAUCCAGCCUUUCAGAGGAGAUUCACAUUCUUUGUGAGAUUCAUACACAUAAAUUUGUGCAUCUUCCUUCUGUUCAUCUUUUAUCACUUUAUUCCAGAGACUCAGAAUUUAAACCAUCAGAAGGUGGAAGGAAAGUUUUCCUUGCAUCUACAUAGGACACUGUUUAAAAUCUGACUCUAAUAGCAGCAAGAGCUUGAGUGAGAUCUUUAUGCUCUUUAGGCUUUUCUGAAAAAAUGAAGAAAAUAGCAUCUACUCAAAUGAUUCAUGGAAAGAUUAAAAUAGACAAUAGAGAUAAAGUGCUUGCACCAUACAAGUCUAGAAUAAAUGGUUAGUGAUGAUAUUAUUCAUAUUCUAGCAUUUAUUUACCAAUAGAGACUGAAAAGAUUAGGACUGGGAAAUCUGCAGUGCAAAUCUGUCCAAAGCAUCUUGCAUCCCUACCCG
rnacentral:lncRNA from 1 species